AUCCAGUUUCCUUCCCAUGAUUGAAAAAACUUUAACUGCUGAUUCUUUUUGCUGCUGUCUGGUUUGUCUGUGAGGAAGCUCUUGAAGGAGGUUUUUGAAUGGGCCAAAUAGAGACUUGACCAUGGCUGUUGGCGGGCGGCUUUGGGAAGCUUCUGAGGUGUCGUUGAUCGUUUCGAUAUGAUACUAGAGAUACACCGAUUCAAUCAUCAUGGGAUGACCUAGUGGUAAUAAGGGUCGUUGUAAAUAGCAAAGGGCUUAGAGGGAACGUGUUCAAACUAUGGUGGCCACCUACCAAAGAUUUAAUAUCUUACGAGUUACCUUGUCAACUAAAUGUAGUAGAGUCAGGUGGUUGGUCCGUGAUUAGUCGAGAUGCGCGCAAUCUGGUCCGGACACACGGAUAUAAAAAAAAAAUAGAGAUACAUCGAUUCCUUUAUUUCAAAUUAAGGUAGUAGGUGCAACGAUACUUGGAAUGAUAAUGUUAAACAUUACCUUUAAUUGUUUUUUGAUUGUUCACAUAACAUUGGUUAUUAUUGCCAAAGCGAACAUAGCUCAGCGGUAAUUGGCAUAUACCUCCACCCAUGAGGUUGCGAGUUCGGAUCCCCUCCCCAACAUGUUGUACUAAAAAAAA